rnacentral:rRNA from 1 species
CGACUCUCGGCAACGGAUAUCUCGGCUCUCGCAUCGAUGAAGAACGUAGCGAAAUGCGAUACUUGGUGUGAAUUGCAGAAUCCCGUGAACCAUCGAGUCUUUGAACGCAAGUUGCGCCCGAAACUAUUUGGUCGAGGGCACGCCUGCCUGGGCGUCACGC